AUCGUUGGAACCAAGUACCAAGCGAUACAAGUACACAUAAUCGCAACAGAUCUUCCAAAGAAAACCAAAAACACAAGAACCAAGAUCAUAGUCACAGGCAAGAAAUGAUUCGGUCUAGCGAUCUUCUUUAAAUUCUCGUUUAUAACACAGCUCUGUUUUUGCUCUGUUUCAGGCUCUAUGUUCUUGAUUUCCUCUGUUUUCGCUUCUUUGACUUCUGUUUUGACUUUAUCAGCGACAACAUCUUUCGUCUUCUUGUUCUUCUUGUGAAGAUAAGAUGAUCUGAUCACAACGGGGACACACUCACCGGAGCUUGUGAACACGAAUCGAAC
rnacentral:lncRNA from 1 species